GAUGAACGCUAGCUACAGGCUUAACACAUGCAAGUCGAGGGGUAACGAGAGGAAAGCUUGCUUUCCUUGUCGACGACCGGCGCACGGGUGAGUAACGCGUAUCCAACCUGCCCCCAACUAAGGAAUAACCUUGCGAAAGUAAGACUAAUACCUUAUAAUUUCCUCAGAUGUCAUCUGACGAUGAAUAAAGAUUUAUCGGUUGUGGAUGGGGAUGCGUCUGAUUAGCUUGUUGGCGGGGUAACGGCCCACCAAGGCAAAGAUCAGUAGGGGUUCUGAGAGGAAGGUCCCCCACAUUGGAACUGAGACACGGUCCAAACUCCUACGGGAGGCAGCAGUGAGGAAUAUUGGUCAAUGGGCGAAAGCCUGAACCAGCCAAGUAGCGUGCAGGAUGACGGCCCUAUGGGUUGUAAACUGCUUUUAUACAGGAAUAAAGUUAGCCACGUGUGGUUAUUUGUAGGUACUGUAUGAAUAAGGACCGGCUAAUUCCGUGCCAGCCGCCGCAGUAA
rnacentral:rRNA from 1 species